rnacentral:ncRNA from 13 species
GCUUAUAUAUUUCAACAUAAAGGGUUGAAGUUUCUACAGUCAAACCAAUUUGACUACUAUAAGU